rnacentral:snRNA from 1 species
AAAUACUGAUCCGACACUGUUG